AUAGUUUAAUUUAUGAAAUUAGGGUAGUUCAUUUUUCUGCAUUUAAAUUUUGCAAGUAGAUUUAGAUCAUGUCUAGCUAAGCAUCCCUUCUAGGGUUUGCGAUGAAGCUAGAUCAUGAGUAGGGAUUUUACAUAGGAUUCUUUCUUUUUCUUAGGAUUUCUUUUUCUUCCUCUUUUGCCAAGAAUUUUUGAUGAACUACAGUUGGGUCAGAGUCCCUUCAUAGUUCAUGCUUGAUUCAGUGCAUAGGAGGAGAAAACCCUAAGGGAUCUUAGUUACUACUCCCCUGUAAAGAAUCUUGAUGGGUUAUCAUUGAGCCUUAGUCCCUUCAUAAUCUAUGCUUGAGAAAGACAAGAGGAGUAAUCGUUAGGAUCAAUAAGAAAAAUUCUAGGUAAAAUUCCCUAAUCUAGAUCUAAUGGAUUCAAAAAUCCUAGAUCCUUAGUCUUAUUGUCUUUAGCAAACAACUUUCGACUUUCGAUUUUCGUUAAAGCUCGCUUGAGCAUAGAUUUGAAAAUCAUUUUUAAACCAAGUCUCUGUGGGAUCGAUCCAUACUCGCUGGUCGUGCUACUCUGCACACUGUGUGCUUGCGAUUUUAUUUACAAAUUUUAAGAUUUGCACAUCAAGUUUUUGGCGCCGUUGCCGGGGAUUUGGCAUUUUAAAUUGUUUUCAAAUAUUUGUUCUUCGUGCUUUAUAACUCUCUUUCUUUCUCUUUUAGGUUUCUAGAUUUAGUUGGUGAUUGCUGGAAAACUCAGGUACGCUUCUAAUUUUUCUUUUAUUAUUUUUAGUUAAUUACUUUUUUUUUAGACCUAAUCAUUUGAAUUU
rnacentral:lncRNA from 1 species